UUCCCUGCCUAUUCGUCUGUCUGUAUUCGUACAUGGGUCUUUCUUGUGUAGGUGUGUGUGUGUGUGUAUUCUUCCUUUCGUCGCUUGCGCUGCUCCUCCUACCUCACGGGAUUUAGUUACUCUCCUUCUCCUGCUGCCUGCGUGUGAGCCCCUCCCUACGUUUCGACGACACUCGCAGUACCCAACUUCCGCCGUCAGUAUUGGAUACUGUAUCCUUGUUGGAUAUGGAGUUAUACAGCAGGAGGGAUGCAUGCGUAUGAGUGUGCUCGCGUCGACGCCGGGCACGUUCAUCCACACGCCUCUCCUCCUCCUCCUCCUCCUCCGCCACCUCUUCUUUCCUUGGUCCAAUGAGCAACCAGUCGCUCCGCACCCCAAUCUGCUGUGUCGUUACCCUCCCCCCUCCCCCGCCGCUCUCGUUUUGCGUUUGGGUGUCUCUUCUAAUUCCCCACCAGUCUCGAGAAUUCUUGGCAGUGUUGUCGCUCGGGUUUGUCCUCGCCCCCCGUUGUCAUGGCUCUCUUUUCGCCUGCUCGUCUUCACCAUCGUUCCUAUGAAUCCUCUCUCUCUCUCUCUCUCUCUCUCUCUCUCUCUUCAUUCGUUCAUUAUCUCCACUCUCCUUGACAUUUCUUUUCAGUCCUUGACAAUUCUGCAAGUGUAGCCAUUGUUGUGCGAUAUAGACAUGCAUUCCAACCAAAUAGAAUGUUCGAAUUUUCUUUCCUUUUAUUUAUAUUUUUCCCCCUCCAUUCUCAUUGUUUAAUUUCUUGAAGCAAACAUCUGAAAUUGGUCCUACUUGUACACAGUUUUCUACUGUAGUCGAAUACAAUAGUUCUCUGCAAGGAAAUCUUCUGUGAACUUUUUAUCGAAGAGAAUUUUCCUGUCUCGCUCAAUCGAAGUUGAAGUAUCAGUCUGGUUAACAAAUCACAGUAGCUUGUUGUGGAAGCAUUGAUGAGCCUGUGAAGACCUUCCAACCCCGGACCCUGUGUGCGAUGAACAGUUUUGUUGGUCUGAGGAUCAGAAGCUGGGUCCAUGUUGCCAUCAUGGGAAAUUGAUAAGCAACAAUCUGCCAAGAGAGUGAUAUCCACAACAGAGAGUCUGGAAGUGAUGACAUCAGCGGGAUUUUUUGGCAGACUUGGCUCCACAGCAUGUUGUUUUUUGUUUUGGAAGCACAUUGAAAAUCUGAAGGAUGAAUAGAAGGUCCCAACAGUGAUGGAUAAUGAAGAAUGAGGAUGACAGGUAUGGCAGAAUUCUUAAUGACAAAGCAAUGUCCUAAUCAUACACUACAUUAACAGGAAUUUGCAACUUGCGGUGAAGAAUCCGCAAGAUCUUGAAGCUGUUUUUGUCAAAUAUUUUUUUAUAUUUUUUCCCUAAGAGUUAGCGCGGAAGCAAGAGUAGAUUGGAGAGGGAAUAAUCAUGAGAGGUGAAUGACCGCUCGGUGAUUGUGAUGGCUGCAAGCACAUCUUUGGAAGCAAUGAUCCCAAGCGAGUAUUCCAUUUCCUUGACGAAGAAGGAUUAUUAUACUCUUCAUUCCGAAUUCUGCACUGAAAUAACUUCUUUCCAACAAUAAUACCUUUAAGAAAAUGAGUGGUCAAAAUGCAUUAGGCUUGGGAGGAGACUUACCCAACGACGCCGCCUCACCAACCAUGACUAACUCCAACUCCUACGUUGUGAACACACUUUUCUUAAUAUUCUUUUUCACAGAACCUGUGUCAAGUGGUUUUGGAUGCUCUUGCUAGAUGGAGAGGCUUUAAAUCUGGAAGACAUGCAAAGCUGAUGCAGCUAGGGUACGUGUGAAUCGUACGAGGUUACGAAGUCGAGAAUUGUGUCAAAUCUAUUGGAGCCCUAGCACCGAGCUAUUAGAAGUGACUUCCAAAGGAAAUUUUCUUAAAGUUGUUCGAAGUUUGAGAUUCAAUCAGCGAACUUACACUAGUGUUAUUUGAGAUCCAGGAUAGUGGUGGUCGAGACCUUCGACGGCGUCUCGCAUGCUUCGAAUUGGUGGGAUGGGUUGUUGUAAUCGCUAUGCAAUGUGAUCACGAGACGAGUUCUAAGCUCACAGCUCAGCAUACCAUCAGCAUUUGACUCUGCCCCACAUCAGCCAACGCAAUUUUCUGGUACUUAAAAAGCUUACCCAGCAAGAAGGACUCUCUCUUCAGAUCUGCAGUGUAACAAAAUCAUUUUGAGGGAUUGAAUCUACUCACCAAGAGAAUGCUUGUCAUGGUGUUCGUCACGCACAGCCAAGCAGCAGGAGAGUUGAUGUCAAUAGAAAAAUUGAAGGAAGGCGUAGAAAGAGCUCGUUCAGCUAAUUAAAUUGCGGACAACUAACUCUGGAUUAUUGCUUUGUGAGAUGCGCAGCUUGCAAUUGUUUUUCUACACAUAUAUAUGUCUAUACAAACCAUAUAACAAAUCAAUGUAAAAUAAAAUUUUGAUUUUUAUUGUAAUGAA